rfam:Pseudogymnoascus sp. 24MN13 contig_625, whole genome shotgun sequence.
GCCUGGGUAGCUCAGAUGGUUAGAGCGCACGACUCAUAAUCGUGAGGUCGCGGGUUCGAUCCCCGCCUCGGGCU